rnacentral:rRNA from 1 species
GGUUAAAAAGCUCGUAGUUGGAUUUCUGUCGAGGACGGCCGGUCCGCACUUUGUGCGUGUAUCUGGUUCGGUCUUGGCGUCCUCUUGGGGAACGUUUCUGUGCUUCGUUGCAUGGGACGGGAUUCAAGACUUUUACUUUGAGGAAAUUAGAGUGUUCACGGCAAGCUUUCGCUUUGAAUACAUUAGCAUGGAAUAGUAAUAUAGGGCGUAAGUUCUAUUUUGUUGGUUUCUAGGACAUACGCAAUGAUUAAUAGGGACAAUUGGGGGCAUUCGCAUUAACACGUCAGAGGUGGAAUUCUUAAGAUUGUGUUACGACGAACUAACUGCGAAAGCAUUUGCCAAGGAUGUUUUCAUUGAUCAAGAACG